rnacentral:rRNA from 1 species
CCUACGGGAGGCAGCAGUGAGGAAUAUUGGUCAAUGGACGCAAGUCUGAACCAGCCAUGCCGCGUGCAGGAUGACGGCUCUAUGAGUUGUAAACUGCUUUUGUACGAGGGUAAACCCCGAUACGUGUAUCUGGUUGAAAGUAUCGUACGAAUAAGGAUCGGCUAACUUCGUGCCAGCAGCCGCGGUAAUACGGAGGAUCCGAGCUUUAUCCGGAUUUAUUGGGUUUAAAGGGUGCGUAGGCGGUUUGAUAAGUAAGAGGUGAAAUGUUGGGGCUCAACCCCGAAACUGCCUCUAAUACUGUUGGACUAGAGAAUAGUUGCGGUAGGCGGAAUGUAUGGUGUAGCGGUGAAAUGCUUAGAGAUCAUACAGAACACCGAUUGCGAAGGCAGCUUACCAAACUAUAUCUGACGUUGAGGCACGAAAGCGUGGGUAGCAAACAGGAUUAGAUACCCCUGUAGUC